AAUUUAUCUCUCAUUCUCUUCACACAGAGAAUCUUCUUCAACUCAACUCAUAUAUAUAUAUGUAAAUUGAACUUCAACUUAUAGCGGUGCAAGUGACGGUGAAGGCCACAAAGCAUCAUCGGUGGCGUCUCGGAGGAUUCCGCCGGCGUCUUCUAUGCUGUGGGUCCGUAACCUCUGCCUACAUCGGUCUUGUCAUGGGUAUGGAAAAUUAAUAUAGCUUGAAUCAAGCUUUACGAGCUUAGGAACAAACCGAAGUUGAAGUGAAUGAUCUCUAAUUAGUCGUCACACAAUAUCUGCAAUCCAGGGGUGCUUUUUCCCUGUCUUUUUUUUCAUUGACUAAAGGCUGACACUCAUUUUUAUGCCUAUUAUGCCCUUGCCUCUUAUUGUUGGGUUCGCGCUACUUCUGUUGCAAUUGGUAAAUUUAGGUAUGGGUGUUGACCCAAAACAUUGUUGAUGAUAAUGUUAAUAACCAGAGGAGGCAAUUCUGAC
rnacentral:lncRNA from 1 species